rnacentral:piRNA from 1 species
UGAACCAACAUGAGAGGAAGGUACAUUCUA